UAAUAUACUCGUGUGCAAUUACGUUAAAUGAACGGCGCCAAGAUAAAUUAUGAAAAAAAAAAAAAUAAUAAUAAUAAAAGAAACCCCGAAGAGUCGGUCAUAAUAUUAUACGUCUCGUGAUAUUAUUGUGUGUGAAAUACGACAGCAGUGAGAAUAUCACCGAGAGAGACACACAGGGAAACGCGUCGUAAUAAACUGUUUGUAUUUUUUUUUUUCCUUUUACGCAAUCGUUUCCUUGAGCAUAAUAUAUGUUCGCGUAUCGAAUACUCCGUGUACGUAUACACCUAUAGUUUUGGUAUUAUACCCGCAAUAUAGAUAGGUACAUCGGGUAAUUCGAUACCGUACCGUAUAUUAUAAUAUUAUUAGGUAUUACUAUACGCGCCGAGGACGAAUUUCAAGAGCGUUAUAAUAAUAAUAUUAAUACUCUGCUGUUCAUCGUUCUUCGGAGUGAUCUGAUUUCACAUAAUAUAAUAAUACGGUAUCGCGUACCCGUGUUCAAGACGGACGGCGAUAAAGCCGUUUAAAACGCAACGUCGAGAUAACGCAAAAAAAAAAAAUUAGUAAAAUAAAUUUUAAAAAGUAACCAGUUUUGUGUUGUUGACAGUGCAAAUCAAACUCGCAGGUGCCUUUGUAUUAUUAUAUUGCGAUACUUCUACGCGCACUCGUGCGAUAAAAUAAGUCGAGCAUUUUUUUCCCGCCAUUUUAAUAUUAAACCUACGCGAUUUAUCGUCACG